rnacentral:tRNA from 3 species
AUUCUAGUAGCUUAACCCAUUUAAAGCAUUGGUCUUGUAAACCAAAGACUGAAGACUAUCAACCUUCCUAGAAUA